rnacentral:rRNA from 1 species
AACGCGAAGAACCUUACCUGGGCUCGAAGCGCAGUGGAAUCCGGUGGAAACAUCGGCGCCCCUUAAAAGGACUGCUGCGGAGGUGCUGCAUGGCUGUCGUCAGCUCGUGUCGUGAGAUGUUGGGUUAAGUCCCGCAACGAGCGCAACCCUUAUCGUUAGUUGCCAGCGGGUUAUGCCGGGCACUCUAGCGAAACCGCCCCGGAUAACGGGGAGGAAGGUGGGGAUGACGUCAAGUCCUCAUGGCCUUUAUGUCCAGGGCUACACACGUGCUACAAUGGCCGGUACAAAGCGCUGCUAAGUCGCAAGACGGAGCCAAUCGCAGAAAACCGGUCUCAGUUCGGAUUGCAGGCUGCAACUCGCCUGCAUGAAGCUGGAAUCGCUAGUAAUGGCGGAUCAGAACGCCGCCGUGAAUACGUUCCCGGGCCUUGUACACACCGGAGUGC